rnacentral:lncRNA from 1 species
AAAAAGGGGCCCAAAGGGUCCAAAAUUAAACUUUGUUUGAUUUCAUCAAAAAUUGAAUAAUUUGGGUUCUUUAAUAUGCCAAAUUUAAAAAUGUACUUAAUUUUUUUAUUUUUGGCCCAGUUUUCAAGUUGGUCCAAAUCGGGGUCCAAAAUUAAACUUUGUUUGAUUUCAUCAAAAAUUGAAUAAAUGGGGUUCUUUGAUAUGCCAAAUCUAACUGUGUAUGUAGAUUUUUAAUUUUGGUCCCGUUUUCAAAUUGGUCUACAUUAAGGUCCAAAGGGUCCAAAAUUUAACUCAGUUCGAUUUUAACAAAAAUUGAAUCUUUGGGGUUCAUUGAUAUGCUGAAUCUAAAUUUGAACUUAGAUUUUUGAUUAUUGGCCCAGUUUUCAAGUUGGUCCAAAUCAGGGUCCAAAAUUAAACUUUGUUUGAUUUCAUCAAAAAUUGAAUAAAUGGGG